rnacentral:lncRNA from 1 species
ACUGUCCUCGGGGGCGGGGGGCGAGGGCGCGACGCCCGGGUCGCCUCUCUGCACCUCAACUUAACCGGAGCGUGCACACCCGCCUGCGAGGCUGACCCGAGCGCGUCCCACCCAAGGUCGCCCAGCCCCGCGGGCGUUUACUUUUCAAAGGUCGUGUGUACACAGUCUGAGCCGGAGCUGCCCCUUCACUUCUGGAGCCUCGCCCAACUUCUCACCCUCGGCUCGCCCGCCGGCGCAGCCCCUGGGAGUUCCGUGCGGCGAGCCAGGGGAACUGGGAAGAUGGGCCGGGACAUCGGCCGGUUGUGAUCCAACCGUGUUUCGGGCUGAGGGACCGUUCGAACCGAAUUGGGGUCUGGAGGGAGGGAUAGGAGAAGAAAGGUGCUGAUCGUGGUAGGCGGUGCUGUGGCGACUCGGAACGGCAUGGGAGCCCUGGGCGUUUCGGGAUCUUCCUCUCCUGGGGGAUGUCCUGGGUGGCGGCGCCUUCCUGCCGCCGUUAACACAAACCCGGUGGACUUCGCUCCAGGUGUAAUUACUUCAAGCCUCCAGGAUGGCAAUCCAGUUCCGUUCG